rnacentral:rRNA from 1 species
CAGUCGCCACGGUAAUACAGAGGGUGCGAGCGUUAAUCGGAUUUACUGGGCGUAAAGCGUGCGUAGGCGGCUAAUUGAGUCGGAUGUGAAAUCCCCGAGCUUAACUUUGGAAUUGCAUUCGAUACUGGUUAGCUAGAGUGUGGGAGAGGAUGGUAGAAUUCCAGGUGUAGCGGUGAAAUGCGUAGAGAUCUGGAGGAAUACCGAUGGCGAAGGCAGCCAUCUGGCCUAACACUGACGCUGAGGUACGAAAGCAUGGGGAGCAAACAGGAUUAGAUACCCCCGUAGUCCCUGUCUCUUAUAC